rnacentral:rRNA from 1 species
UACGUAGGGUGCAAGCGUUGUCCGGAAUUAUUGGGCGUAAAGAGCUCGUAGGCGGUCUGUCGCGUCGGAUGUGAAAACCCAGGGCUCAACCCCGGGCCUGCAUUCGAUACGGGCAGACUAGAGUUCGGUAGGGGAGACUGGAAUUCCUGGUGUAGCGGUGAAAUGCGCAGAUAUCAGGAGGAACACCGGUGGCGAAGGCGGGUCUCUGGGCCGAAACUGACGCUGAGGAGCGAAAGCGUGGGGAGCAAACAGG